ensembl:lncRNA
CACUUUUCUGUCAAAGACCUCACAAAAGCUUUCUUAGUUUACUUUUUUUUUCCCCUGAAGCUUCUAUUGCUCUGUACAUUUUGGAUUCAGAAAAUUACUUUGAGCAGUUGGUAUAAUUACACUGGUUCAAUCUUGCAUGAUUCUUCUUGAUUGUACAUGUGGAUGACUGAAUCUGCAACACUUUCAAGCUGUGUUUUUCAAGGACGGAGCCAUAAUGCAUAUUUACACAUUGAUUGCAACUUACUUCAGUGACAAAAGAUUAUUUACACAGAUCUCAGUUCAGUUCUGCUGGGAUAUCACUUACACAAUGUUUGUCAAGGGAAACACGGGGAG